rnacentral:rRNA from 1 species
CGUACGAGUGCUAUACUGCAAGUAGAACGCUGAAGAGAGGAGCUUGCUCUUCUUGGAUGAGUUGCGAACGGGUGAGUAACGCGUAGGUAACCUGCCUUGUAGCGGGGGAUAACUAUUGGAAACGAUAGCUAAUACCGCAUAACAAUGGAUGACACAUGUCAUUUAUUUGAAAGGGGCAAUUGCUCCACUACAAGAUGGACCUGCGUUGUAUUAGCUAGUAGGUGAGGUAAUGGCUCACCUAGGCGACGAUACAUAGCCGACCUGAGAGGGUGAUCGGCCACACUGGGACUGAGACACGGCCCAGACUCCUACGGGAGGCAGCAGUAGGGAAUCUUCGGCAAUGGGGGCAACCCUGACCGAGCAACGCCGCGUGAGUGAAGAAGGUUUUCGGAUCGUAAAGCUCUGUUGUAAGUCAAGAACGGGUGUGAGAGUGGAAAGUUCACACUGUGACGGUAGCUUACCAGAAAGGGACGGCUAACUACGUGCCAGCAGCCGCGGUAAUACGUAGGUCCCGAGCGUUGUCCGGAUUUAUUGGGCGUAAAGCGAGCGCAGGCGGUUUGAUAAGUCUGAAGUUAAAGGCUGUGGCUCAACCAUAGUUCGCUUUGGAAACUGUCAAACUUGAGUGCAGAAGGGGAGAGUGGAAUUCCAUGUGUAGCGGUGAAAUGCGUAGAUAUAUGGAGGAACACCGGUGGCGAAAGCGGCUCUCUGGUCUGUAACUGACGCUGAGGCUCGAAAGCGUGGGGAGCGAACAGGAUUAGAUACCCUGGUAGUCCACGCCGUAAACGAUGAGUGCUAGGUGUUGGAUCCUUUCCGGGAUUCAGUGCCGAAGCUAACGCAUUAAGCACUCCGCCUGGGGAGUACGACCGCAAGGUUGAAACUCAAAGGAAUUGACGGGGGCCCGCACAAGCGGUGGAGCAUGUGGUUUAAUUCGAAGCAACGCGAAGAACCU